rnacentral:rRNA from 1 species
CGCGUAGGUGGUUCAGUCAUUCAGAUGUGAAAGCCCCGGGCUCAACCUGGGAAUUGCACCUGAUACUGCUGAACUAGAGUACGGUAGAGGGUAGUGGAAUUUCCGGUGUAGCGGUGAAAUGCGUAGAGAUCGGAAGGAACACCAGCGGCGAAGGCGACUACCUGGACCGAUACUGACACUGAGGUGCGAAAGCGUGGGUAGCAAACA